GGUAGAGAUGCAUUAUAGGGUUUUUGGUUGAUUUUUGUGUCAAAGCAUGAUAUGUGUUGAGAUGUGUUGUUUGUUGGGGUUUUCAGUUAGUUUUGGACCCCUUUGUGCCUAUACUUGAGUAUAUGCAGGUUGUGAGUUGUUGGUUGCAUGGUUGAGGGAGUUGGGAGGUUGGUUUGCAUGAAGCAGAACAAGUUUCUACCUUACUGGAAAAUCCAGUUUCGGCCGCCGAAGGAAGGUU
rnacentral:lncRNA from 1 species